GUCACAAAGGACUUUUUACUAACUUUUGAACCCCUUGUCUGAUUUGUGCCAUUUUUGAAUAUGUUGUUCCCCUGAAUGGAUUGAUUGUGAAUAUGUAAUUUUAUGUGAAUGUGAUGUAUGGUUUUGGAGUUAUGAAAGUUGGGUAGAAAGUAUGUUUUAACUGUAUGUAUAAUUGAGUUUCCUCUCAGGAUAAGGGGAGGGAAUAUGUGGGAUGUAACUGUGAUGUGAUUGGUUGUUUUGUAACGCCCUGUGGGCUGUACUAUGUUUGUG